CAAAACUUAAGCACCAUGAAAUAGAGAAAUGAUGGAGUUAGUCUCGAAAAAGUGAAUAAAAAUGCAAAAGCUUAUCAAAUGAACAUGAUCUUUAGUAGUAACAACUUAAGCAUAAAAACUGGCAUCUGUAAGCUAUAGUUUUUGCAUUUGGCAGACUUUAACACUUGAACACAAUGGAUCACUAAAUAUUCUCACAUUCUCAUGUCACAACCUUUUGUUAGGAUGUUGCACUAGACCGAAACAUUUUGUUUACCAUUUCUGAAUCUCAAGUCUCUUAUUUGGCUCUAGGAGUUUGUGAUGUAAUCUAUUGACCUGCAAUUGUGCUACGUUGCACUAGACCGAAACAUUUUGUUUACUAUUUCUGAAUCUCAAGUCUCUUAUUUGGCUCUAGGAGUUUGUGAUGUAAUCUAUUGACCUGCAAUUGUGCUACGAAGGCUAAAUAAAGAAGAUGCAAGUUUAUAUUUUUGAACAAGAAACGUUGAAUCUUUGCAUGCACAUAAGGGCCUAAAUUGGUCUUAAAGGUGGUUCUGGUACUUAUAGAAUGCUGGCCAGACAAAUACUUAACUUUUUUCUUUCAUGCUUAUUUUGUAUUACAUUUUCUAAGAUGAGUUUAAUUCAUAUGGUUUUCCUAGGUCGGGGGUGCUCCUUUUAUGCAUCUCUGCCAACAAGCAAAAUUAAUGGAUCAUCCUCGUUGGUCGAGCACAAGGACAACAUGGGCACAUAUUGUCUGAGAUUCUAGAGAUUGCUGCAGAAGGAGGACAAGAGGGAGGACAAGGGCGGAUUUGCCACCUGAGCAACUGGGGCCAUGGCCCAGGUUGUGACCCAGCUGCACUUUGGAAGAAGCCCACUGAGUGGCCCUAGCUAUUGGGCCAGCCCAGCUCCGCCCCUGAGGGAGGACAUACGUAUGGCUUGCCAAGCAUUGGAAGUGGUGGCCGUCGAAUUUUUGGCCAAGAAUGGAUGGCGGUUUAGUAAUAAGCUAUGUGGUCUAUAAUGCUAUUUUUAUUUCUGUCCAACUUUCAACUUUGAGCUGAAAUGAUGUAAUAAUGAACAAGGUUGUAUCCA